rnacentral:tRNA from 1 species
GGGUCGUUAGCUCAGUUGGCAGAGCAGUGGACUUUUAAUCCAUGGGUCCUGGGUUCGAGCCCCAGACGCCCCA